rnacentral:rRNA from 1 species
AGAGUUUGAUCCUGGCUCAGAUUGAACGCUGGCGGCAUGCUUUACACAUGCAAGUCGAACGGUAGCAGGCCUUCGGUGCUGACGAGUGGCGGACGGGUGAGUAAUGCGUAGGAAUCUGUCUUUUAGUGGGGGAGUAACGCAGCGAAAGUUAGUGCUAAUACCGCAUAAGCUCUGAGGAGGAAAGCGGGGGACCGGAAAGGACCUCGCGCUGAAGGAGCGGCCGAUGUCCGAUUAGCUAGUUGGUAGGGUAAAGGCCGUACCAAGGCGACGAUCAGUAGCUGGUCUGAGAGGACGACCAGCCACACUGGGACUGAGACACGGCCCAGACUCCUACGGGAGGCGAC